rnacentral:rRNA from 1 species
GGCUCAGAACGAACGCUGGCGGCGUGCUUAACACAUGCAAGUCGGAUGCGAACGGCGCUUUCGGGCGUUGAGUAGCAUGGCAGACGGGUGAGGAGCGCGUAUCUGACUGGACUCAGGCUGGGGGAUAGUCCCUCGAAAGGGGGUUGAAUACCGCAUGUGCUCGGUGCUGUGAGGGCAUCGAGGAAAGUUGGCCUCUGCGGGCACGCUGACGGCCUGAGACAGGGAUGCGUCCUAUUAGCUAGCUGGUGGGGUAAGGGCCUACCAGGGCGACGAUGGGUAGCUGGUCUGAGAGGAUGAUCAGCCACACUGGGACUGCGACACGGCCCAGACUCCUACGGGAGGCAGCAGUGGGGAAUUUUGCGCAAUGGGCGCAAGCCUGACGCAGCAACGCCGCGUGCAUGACGACGCCUUUCGAGGUGUAAAGUGCUGUCGACCGGGACGAAGGGGCGAGGGUGAACAGCUUUCGCGCAUGACGGUACCGGUGGAGGAAGCCCCGGCUAACUCCGUGCCAGCAGCCGCGGUAAGACGGAGGGGGCGAGCGUUGUUCGGAAUUACUGGGCGUAAAGCGCGCGUAGGCGGUGCUGCAAGUGGUGCGUGAAAGCCCUCGGCUUAACCGGGGACGGGCGUGCCAAACUGUUGGACUGGAGUGCCGGAGGGGGAGGCGGAAUUCCUGGUGGAGCGGUGAAAUGCGUAGAGAUCAGGAAGAACGUCGGUGGUGAAGGCGGCCUCCUGGACGGACACUGACGCUGAGGUGCGACAGCGUGGGGAGCGAACGGGAUUAGAUACCCCGGUAGUCCACGCCGUANACGAUGGGUACUAGGUGUGGGGCUUGUGAUGAGGCCCGUGCCGGAGCUAACGCA